GGGCGGAGUGGGGUGGAACUUGGCGGCGGGGGUCCAGCCUGGGCUAGGCCUCCCAGGACCGCGCGCGUGGAGCCGGGAGGUGUAUGUUCGGCCGCACAGCUUCUUUCAGUAACUGCUGUCCUACUCUGCUGCCUUCCUUAGGAUAAGGUGCUGCGCUGGGCUCCUGGAGUCCCUCCGCCAUGAGCAGGAAGGCUGCUCAGAGGGCUUGGAGGUGCAGACGGCAUCCAGCCAGUCUAGAGAUCCUUCCGUGAAAAGAAAAGCAAAAGACGGGAAGGAAGACGCGGAUUGUGUGUGUUUGAUCAACAAUGGACAUAGGAGAGGAAGUAGGAAAGCCUGGUGUCUGGCGGAAAAUGACACCCGUUACCGAAGAAGCUGCCAGGCAUCAAGGUGAUCACACACCGGGCCACGUGAUGCAAACAAUCUAAUUGAAUGUGUAACCUCACUGAAGUCUCAGGAAAAAUUUGCGAUGCAGAUGUUCUUAUCUUAAUUUUAUAAACGAGAGAGGCCAAGUAACCGUCCCAUCGCCAUCACAGUGAGGAGGGUCCGCCCAGUGCCGUCCACCCCCAAGCAGGAACCCUACACCAGUUUGGAAUAUCUUGAGUUUGAGAUGUCUGUGCAAAUCUACGCUAAGCCCCGGGGGUUAGGUAAGGGGAAAGCAUUCCAGGCAGAAGGAACAGCAAGUUCAAAUGCCCUAAAGCAGGAAAGAGUUUCUCAUUUCCUGUCCAUGAGCAUCUAUUUUCUUUCUUCUGGGAAGUUGUACGUAAUCAUCAGACAGCUGAGUUCUUGGGGAAGAGCAUCCCUGAGUAGCCACCUCCUGUUUCAUCCUGGCACUUGGGGACAUGUUAAACUUUGAGGAUAACAGACUCUGAGAACUCCACCCUCUCAGACAAGUCCCCAAACCUCUUGAGCAUCUGUCCUCUGGUCCAUAGAAGGAGAGAGCUCUUCUCCCUGGAUCCCCAGCCAGCCCUCUGCCGGGUGGUGUUUACUGCCCUCUUGUGGCCGCCGGCUCUCGUGCUUUCCAGUUGAUCGACUUCAAAGCGCCGGGGAUCUAAGAAAAUCAAAUGUUGCAAGAGUAAAGGCACAUGUGUUACUAUGUUUAUAUUUGAGUGUCAUGCUUGCUAAUAACAAGAGAAAGGAGCUGGCGGAAGGAAAGGAAGGAGGAAGUGAGGAAAGGAGGGAGGAAGGAAAGAGGAAGGAAGGAAGAAAAGAGCAAAGAAAAUGAGAAAGACAGCACCUUUUAGAUUCUGAGCAGGAACCAAAGCGGCUCAAGAAAAAAAAAAAGUUACCUUGCUCAUACUCUAAAUUUGGAUUUGGAAAAUCCAAGCUUCCCGUGUUUCGUUACCCAUGUGGACCUUUCACAACAAAGUAGAGGUGAAAGGAUUUUUUUCUCCUACAACUGCCGAAUUAAAAUUAAAUUAAAAUUAGAAUUUUAAUGUUAAUUUUAGAAUUUAGAAGUUAGAAUUUAAAUUUUGUGGUUACUAAAGUCCAGAUCUUAGGACAGUUGUUUCCCCUAAAUUAUAUUAGAGUCUAUUUAUUAUCAAUUUCAAUAUAUUUUAAUUUUUAUGGUUCUAAUAGAAAUUUGUUUUUUAUAGUUGGUUUUUAAGGAAUGUGUCAAAUAAAAAUGUAUGUGAGCCAGGGUUUGUUUUUUUGGAUGAAGCUGAAACAAUGAAUGACAGUCCUUGAAAGGAAGCAGAGCUCUGACUGUUCUGGGUUGUCGAGAAAGCAAGUUGCACAAAAAAGUUCACGCAGGACUCAGCAAAGAAGACCGAGUCUGCGGUCGGCAGGGAACAGCUUCACAGGCUGACCUGGGAGCCAGUUCAGCCCUGUCUACACGGGGGCCUCUUUCAAGUCAGACCUUGGGCAGGGAAGCAAUCAUGUGAAACCAACUUCUAUAAAUUAUGACAGAAAUGUUGUGAUUGAGAUAUUUGUAUAAUCUGGAAGGGUUUUUCUCUUUUAAUUUUUUAUUAAGUGCUCAUUCAAUUCCACUAAUGUUAGUUAUAUUUAAUUAUGAAUUCCAGUGUACCAGAUACUGAGUCAACAAUUCUGUACAUUCCUCAGUACUCGUCAGGACAAGUGCCUCUUUAACCCCAGCCCUUACCGCACCCAUCCCCCCUUCCCUCCCUCUGGGGACCCUCAGUGUGUUCUCUGUAGUUAAGUGUCAUCUUGGUUUGUCUCUCUCUCUAUCUCUUUUUCCCUUUGCUCAUUUGUUCGGUUUCUUAAAUUCCACAUAUGAGUGA